rnacentral:rRNA from 1 species
GACGAACGCUGGCGGCGUGCUUAACACAUGCAAGUCGAACGGAAAGGCCCUGCUUUUGUGGGGUGCUCGAGUGGCGAACGGGUGAGUAACACGUGAGUAACCUGCCCUUGACUUUGGGAUAACUUCAGGAAACUGGGGCUAAUACCGGAUAGGAGCUCCUGCUGCAUGGUGGGGGUUGGAAAGUUUCGGCGGUUGGGGAUGGACUCGCGGCUUAUCAGCUUGUUGGUGGGGUAGUGGCUUACCAAGGCUUUGACGGGUAGCCGGCCUGAGAAGGUGACCGGCCACAUUGGGACUGAGGUACGGCCCAGACUCCUACGGGAGGCAGCGGUGGGGAAUAUUGCACAAUGGGAGGAAGCCUGAUACAGCAACGCCGCGUGCGGAAUGACGGCCUUCGGGUUGUGAACCGCUUUCGCCUGUGACGAAGCGUGUGUGACGGUAAUGGGUAAAGAAGCACCGGCUAACUACGUG